CGGCCACAUGGGACUGAGACACGGCCCAGACUCCUACGGGAGGCAGCAGUGGGGGAUAUUGCACAAUGUCGUAAGCUUUUCUUGUAGCANNNNNNNNNGGGGGAAGAAGGUCUUCGGAUUGUAAACCUCUGUCUUCGGGGACGAUNNAANNNNNGUACCCUGAGAAGUAAGCCACGGCUAACUACGUGCCAGCAGCCGCGGUAAUACGUAGGUGAAGCGUUAGUCCGGAUUACUGGGUGUAAAGGGUGCGCAGGCGGGGCGGCAAGUUGGAUGUGAAAACUCCUCAACCGUGAAACUGCGCUAUUAAAUAUUUGUUAUGCUUCAGUUUGUACAG
rnacentral:rRNA from 1 species